rnacentral:tRNA from 1 species
GUCCUCGUAGCUUAGCUGGAUAAAGCGUUGGCUUGCGGAGCCAAAGAUCGUAGGUUCGAAUCCUGCCGGGGACA